CGAGAGGGCUGAUUCCUGCUGACCGAGGGACCAAUAUUACUUAGUUAUACAAAUGCCAUACCAUCUGCUUUCUAUACCCAGUUAUGCCUCGGCGUAAGCUCGGUUGGAGGCACCUGCAGCUACCCUGUAGUUGCGGACUGCCAACUCCAGCCGCGGCCCGCCGGCGGUACACUAAACUCUGUUUUAUUUUAUAUUCUGAGCGUCUUAUUUUAAUAAGUUAAAACUUUCAACAACGGAUCUCUUGGUUCUGGCAUCGAUGAAGAACGCAGCGAAAUGCGAUAAGUAAUGUGAAUUGCAGAAUUCAGUGAAUCAUCGAAUCUUUGAACGCACAUUGCGCCCAUCAGUAUUCUGGUGGGCAUGCCUGUUCGAGCGUCAUUUCAACCCUUAAGCCUAGCUUAGUGUUGGGAAUCUGCUGUACUGCAGUUCCUUAAAGACAGUGGCGGAGCGGCGGUAGUCCUCUGAGCGUAGUAAUUUAUUUCUCGCUUUUGUCAGGCUCUGUCCUCCCGCCAUAAAACCCCCAAUUUUUUAGUGGUUGACCUCGGAUCAGGUAGGAAUACCCGCUGAACUUAAGCAUAUCAAUAACCGGGAGGAACUCCU
rnacentral:rRNA from 1 species